UCCUCAGCGGCCUGAUCGAUGAUAUCAUGGAUGGUUGCUUUGUACAUCCUUCUGCAGCGAAUCUGCGAGCUAAGAUCUCGUUGAUGGUGUCAAAUACGAGCUUCCUCCUGCUUCUGUCUAUCAGGUUCGCUGUCUGUUGUUGUCCAAAUCCUCUGGCUUUGUGUUUGUCGUCCUGUAGACUCAGAUUGCUUGUCUUGUUCUGUUCUAGGACAAAGAAAAGGCUCGGGUUGAUUGGUAGGUGUGCUUGGUGCAGCUGAAUGCUUAUCAUGCUGUAGUCGAUAUCUCUUAGAAGCCCUGAUGCCAGCAGUAUCUCUGAGAUGUACUUGUCGUCACCAUUUUUGAAUUCAACACCUUCAUCCAUGAAACCCAUAAUAGGUUCGGCAUCAGGCUGCUUACUCGCGUUAUUCUCAGGCCACACAAUCGAUCUACAUAUGUUGCGCUGCUUGUUCAUCCACUGGGACUCUUCAGAACCUAGAUUAUCGUCCUCUGUGGCAAGAGAAAUAGUAAAGGUGAGAACUUUAACCAAUCAAAACUGGCAAUCUGUUUUGGAUAUAUGUAGUUUCGAUAAAUGUAACGAGUUCAAUACCAAUGAUCAUAUCUCGGAGAAAAAUUGCAUUUAAAAAUUUCUCAGUGACUCACCUUUGAAGACAAUGGAUAUCUUCCUCACAGGGGAUGGUGACUCAUCUUCGUCGAAGGCUACAUCAAGAACUGAAACCGGGCUGGGCUGCUCCACUGUAAUUUUGAGAGGUUUUGGCAACGACCUCAUUCCCAACUCUGGACUCUGCAUUGAUAAACAGAUGAGAUUCAGUGAGACAUGUAGUAGUGAACAACUUGUGUCGUGAAUUUGAGAUAGAAGAAAAGCUUGUACCCUUUGUUUUGGGGUGUGCUGCUCGGUGAUGUCGUUAUUCCUCUCAUAUUUAUAUCUACUUGUACCUUCGAUGUCAAGGUUAGAGGUCAAACUUAUGUUGCUGUCAGAUCUUAGACUUCUCAAGUCACUGGUUUCGUCACUGAAAUGGUCUUCGGAUUGCUGCUGAACGCGAGAUUUUAUCCCUGGUUUUCUUCUUGGGGAAGCUGACUCUGUCUGUUGCCUACUGAGUUGUUGUCUCUGGAUCUUGUUUGGCUCUGGUUUUGGAGACGUUGGUCGAGACUGCUUCUCGAACGCGAGCUUCUUUGGCUGUGUUCUUGGGCUCACACUAGGCUUCUGGCUCUUUCCUGACCUCAUCAUGUCGCUUUUCGAUUGUAAAGGUCUAGUAGUAGUGUUUUUCGUUGCAGAAUCUGUCUGGCCCUUGUAAAAGCCCGGCCUCGGUGUCACAUCCAUGCCGCUCUGCUUCCUCUGAGUGACUUUCUGGGUUUGCCUCAGGUUUGCGACCUUGACAUUUGGUAAAGCAACACUCCGUGGCGAGAAAGAGGUGGAACCACAAUUUCCUGUCUCUUUGAAGACUGCAGCCUCCGCUGCUUUCAUAACCACGAUGGAGGAAGAUCUUAAAUUCUUGGACGACGGGCUUGUUGUUGCAGAUGGAAUGGGCUGAUCAGCUCUCUGCAUAAAGUUGGUUGAACUCAGACUGUUGUUGUCAUCAUCUUUGCUUAUCAACUGUUGCGUCUUCUCCAUUGCUUCAAGUAUUUGCUUUAGAGCUCUGAGAUCUUUCUCAGACUUCUUGAAUUCAAGCUGCGAAAGCCGCUUCUGUAUCUCACCAUAAACUGUCAGUGUAGUAGCAGCGUCAGCUGCUAUACCUUGGGUCUUGGCACCAUCCACUUGAGACCAUGGGGCUGCUUUCAUUGGAAACUUAGCAGGCAUCAUCUUCUUGACUGAAUCAGAAUUUCUUGAUCUUUGUAGAUCUGCUUCCGCUCGAGAGGUUGGCCUUGGGGAGUCACAGAAGCGGUUCUGGUUCCCUCUGUUCUGAUCGUUCACAGACUCGUCUGGAAUGACUUCAAGACCCAUUAGUUUGGCAACGACACUCGAUGUUGUUCUUCUGUGACCCGUUACAAACUCUUGCGGCUCUGGUG
rnacentral:lncRNA from 1 species